UGUAUUAUUUAUAAUAUUUUUUAUUACUCUCUUCAUUAAGGCAAACAUUUUCAUUUAAAACUAUUUAAGAAGACAAUAUAUUUUUUUAAAAUUUUUUAAAAGGAAUAUCCAUCAAUUCUGUUUUUCUCAAGAAGACACACUCGCGAUAAGAAUGAAAUAUUUCACUUGGAUACUCCUACUCCUUGUGGUGAUUUUGAAGGACGCGGUGUUGCGAAACGCUAAAGUGAGUGCUCAAUUGGGUUGGGGUUAUUAUUGGGGAGUUGAUAAAGCUCCUAACAAUAAUUAUGCCCAUGCCAAAAUUCCCGCUGAUUGAAGAUUGUUCAUUCUUAUAUAUAAUAUAAUUAUAACAAUUUUGUGAUUAA